rnacentral:misc_RNA from 1 species
GAUGAAGAACGUAGCGAAAUGCGAUAAGUAAUGUGAAUUGCAGAAUUCAGUGAAUCAUCGAAUCUUUGAACGCACCUUGCACCCUUUGGUAUUCCGAAGGGUAUGCUCGUUUGAGUGUCAUUGUACUCUCACACUUCUAACUCCUUUCGGGAUUGGGAGCGGUGGACUUGGGUGUUGCUGCUUUAGUUGUGGCUCACCUCAAAUAAGUUAGUGCAACUCUUGGUUGGACAUAGUACGGCGUGAUAAGUGUCUUCGCCGGCGCCUCUGUAAGGAGGGUGGCCGAUCGGGAGCUCUGUGCUUCAAACCGUCUUCGGACAAUCUUUGACAACUUGACCUCAAAUCGAGUAGGACUACCCGCUGAACUUAAGCAUAUCAAUAAGCGGAGGA